ACUCCACACUACAUGAUUGAGUAAAUACGAAAUGUGGAACAGUCAGGCAUUCAAGCUCAACCGGCUUGGAUAUACAGUAACAGCAACAUAUUCUUAAGUUUGUUUUAACAGUAUUGACUUUUCCCUUGAUCCCAUCUGCUUAUGAAAAGAGCAUUUAUUCAUGCCACAAAUGGUACAAUGCCACGUUGUCAUCUUCUCCUGUAAGAGCAUCCCCAGCAGCUCAUCCAUAUUUAAUCCUCUAAAUACCCAUAUGGAUAGUCAUCAAAAAAAGAUUCCUCAUUCAUAUCCAUUCCCACUCCAACAAAUCAUCCAUAUUACGUCAUUCAUAUCCCACCCUCCUAUAUUUUAAUAAUAUCUUCCAACUAACCUUACUUUUACUUUUGUAUUUUUAAGGGACAUAUUUUGAACUACUAAAUUUUAACAGUGUUAUUUAUCACGAUAAUAUUUCGAAAUGAGUAUAUUUUAACGGAUACAUUUUUAAUGGAUAGUUUUUUAAUUGAUAUAUUUGAAUUGAGUGAAGCAUUUUUUUUGGAUAUAUUCGUAGCAACAUCCAAAAAAAAAUGAACACAACAAAAAUAAACAUCUGUAUAUUUCCCUUUCUCUACUCAGGCUGCACAGUAGUGAACAUACUACUAGAAUUUUUUUAAAAAAUAAUACGAUUUUAAUAGAAAAUCGCAAAAAUAUAGGUCGGUUCGACGAAAUCGUAAAUUUAGCACCCUGUCGAACAACCGUGUCUCGAUAGAGGUACUUAUCGAACUAUGGCAGUUCGACAUGUACCUGUCGAACUGCCAUAGUUCGAUAGGGUAGUUGGUCCAAGGGAAAAAAUAAAAAAAGGACAGUAACAGUGCCUGGCAGGACAUAUCGAACAAGCAAACUUCGAUAGGGUGGCAUGUCGAACUUGGUCUCAGCUACAGUGUGCUACAGUGUUUUUCCUCUUUUUAAAAAUUAUUUUAUCAUCUGUCGAACUGCCGGCACCCUGUCGAACUGCGGUUGUUCGAUAGGUACCCUGUCGAACCACGGAUAUUCGAUAGAGUGCCAAACUUGCGAUUUCGUCUAACCGACCUAUAUUUUUGAGAUUUUCCUUUAAAAUCGUAUUAUUUCCAAAAAAAAUCCCAUACUACUACUACUCUUUCUGCAGAGGCAGCAGGCGAGGGGCAGCAGCGGGCGUGCGGUGGAGGGGCAGCGGCGGCCGGGCGGACGGGCGAGGGGUGGCGGCGGGCGUGUGGCCGGGAGGGCGAAGGGCAGCGGGCGUGCGGCGGAGGGCGGCGGCGGCCGGGCGGGCGGAGGGCGGCGGUGGGUGUGUGGCCGAGGGUCGGCGCGCGGCCAGGCCGACGGGCGAGGGGCGGCGGCGGACGACCGGACGAGGGCGCAGAUGGGCGGGGAGGAGGCAGACGGGGGGAGGAGAAGCUCGAGGGCGCUGCUGCGGGUGUCCGACGGCGGGAGCGCCGCAGUGGAUCAGGCGACGGCAGGAGGACAACCUGGGCGCGGGUGGCUGACGGCGGGAGCUCGUGCUAUGGCGAAACCUCCAGAUCUGGAUGGAGUAGCUGCUGGUCAUGCUCUAAGGCCAUUCGUAAUACGCUGAUGUGCCAUUCAGCCCGGAGAGCCCAGCUCGGAGAUUCUACUCCACGACUGUGUUUUUCAUUGCUCCAUGAGGAACGCGGAACCAAUUAUUGCUACAGGUACCUCGCCAGGAUUUGCAUGUUUGGACCCACCACUUUCAUGCCCCGCGCCACAGGGAAGGGAGAGGGAGAACGGGAAGAAAGCAUCCGACCGAAGGAGGCCGCAUCGACUGCCACCGAAGAGCUCAACAGGGACGGUAGCCUCCCGCUCCGUGCCGCCGCCAGGGAGCUUGUCGACCCUCCCUCCAGUUUGCACCGCCAAUCUCCAUCUUCAUCGCUCGAUCCGCCCAUGGCCCACCAAUGGCGGCGAGAUGCAGGGAUUGGUAGGCAAAAUCAGAGAAGAGAAGGGAGAGCCGCAGCCCUCGACGGAGCUCGCCUCGACAGCGGCGCUUCAUCCCUUGUCAGCAUGAGCCACCGACGGAUCCACCGGAUUGGAGACCGAGGGGGGGGGGGGCGUGGGGCGAAGCUCGCGGCGGCGUAGGCCUGAGCCGCUGUGGGGACCUCGCCAGCCUCAAUCCGUGCUCGCCGCUGAGGCCCUCCUCGAUCCACGCCGCCAGAAGCUCGAGGUGGGAAAUGCCGCCGUCGCUAAGCUCGAUAUCCAGCCGUUUCCUUGUCCUGUCGUUCGAGCUUGACGGGAAAGGCGACGACGGGACCGGAGAAGAGAGAGGCUGGUGCGGCGAGAGGAGAGGAGCGACGAAGAGGGAGAGGAAGACAUGAGGGAGGAGAGGGAGGCGACGGAGAGCGAGAGGAGCUUGAGGUCGAGGCCGCGCCACCGAGGUCGAUCCGGAGCCGGCGGGGGAGGCGACGGAGAGGGAGAGGACCUCCCGAGAUUAGCAGCUCGGUGCCACCACCGUUCCGCCGCCACGCCACCGUCGUCCACGGCUUCCGCCCCUCGCGGACCUCGCACGUCGCCCGCUGCCGUGCCACCGACUCCGCUGAACUCGCCGACCUCACCCGUCCCUCGCUCCCACUCCGCUGACCCCGCCGCUGCUUCGGGGGAGGAGAGAGGGGUGGAUCUGGCGAGCACCGACGCCUUCCUUCGCCUGCUGACUCAGUCUGCUAGUGGGGAAUGGAUUAGAGGAGAGAGAGAGAGGGGGGGAGUUAAGAAGUAAAAAAGAUAGUACUAGUGCACCCAUCUAUUAUCUAUCUAUCUAUCUUCUAUCUUCUAUCUAUCUA